AUUAGGUUUUGGGGCUAUGGUAAGGUUUAAGUUUUUUGGCGUUAGGGUUAAAAUCACUGUCCAAAACCUUUGUAGGAACUCUUUUCCAACCUUUUGGAGUUAGUUAGAACCAAAAAAUAUGAAAAAAGAAAAAAAUAUUAUUGGGGGUUUUCGGGCUCCCUGAAAGUAAUACCCGGGUAUUAGGUUUUGGGGCUAUGGUAAGGUUUAAGUUUUUUGGCGUUAGGGUUAAAAUCACUGUCCAAAACCUUUGUAGGAACUCUUUUCCAACCUUUUGGAGUUAGUUAGAACCAAAAAAUAUGAAAAAAGAAAAAAAUAUUAUUGGGGGUUUUCGGGCUCCUGAAAGUAAUACCCGGGUAUUAGGUUUUGGGGCUAUGGUAAGGUUUAAGUUUUUGGCGUUAGGGUUAAAAUCACUGUCCAAAACCUUUGUAGGAACUCUUUUCCAACCUUUUGGAGUUAGUUAGACCAAAAAAAAAUGAAAAAUGAAAAAAACAAUAUUUGGGGUUUUCGGGGUUCCUGAAUGUAAUACCCGGGUAUUAGAUUUUAAGGCUAGGGUAAGGUUUAAGUUUUUUGGCGUUAGGGUUAAAAUCACUGUCCAAAACCUUUGUAGGAACUCUUUUCCAACCUUUUGGAGUUAGUUAGACCAAAAAAAAUGAAAAAAAGAAAAAAAUAUUAUUGGGGGUUUUCGGGCUCCCUGAAAGUAAUACCCGGGUAUUAGGUUUUGGGGCUAUGGUAAGGUUUAAGUUUUUUGGCGUUAGGGUUAAAAUCACUGUCCAAAACCUUUGUAGGAACUCUUUUCCAACCUUUUGGAGUUAGUUAGACCAAAAAAAAAUGAAAAAUUAAAAAACAAUAUUUGGGGUUUUCGGGGUUCCUGAAUGUAAUACCCGGGUAUUAGAUUUUGGGGCUAGGGUAAGGUUUAAGUUUUUUGGCGUUAGGGUUAAAAUCACUGUCCAAAA